GGAGAACUCAAUAUUUUAGUGGAUGUAAAGAACUUUCAAAAGUUGCUGAAAUUAUGGUUACGAAGACAAUGCACACAUCUUACCCAUUGGUUUAUCGGCUCAUUGAGCUAACUUUGAUACUUCCGAUGGCCACGGCUUCAGUUGAGAGGGUGUUUUCAGCUAUGUCCCUUAUAAAGACAGACUUGCGUAACAAAAUGGGGGAUGAAUGGUUCAAUGACUUGAUGAUAUGCUACAUUGAGAAGCAGAUAUUUAGAAGCAUUGGUAAUGAAAAAAUCAUGCAACAUUUUGAAGAGAUGAAAAAACGCCGUAUGUUGUUGCCUAAACAGAAUUUAGUGAUUGCUCCUCAUGAAGAAUAAUGGGUAUCAAGUAGGUGUUUGGUGUGGAGAAAUUGUCGAUUUGUCUUUGGCUACUUUUUCAACAUGUAAUUUGUAUUAUUCCUCUCUGUUUUUAUAUAUGCUACUUUGAACUAUGAUGCUGCUCUAUUAUGAGAAUUGAGAUAAUAUAAUUGUUGGUUGCGU